rnacentral:lncRNA from 1 species
GGUUAACACUUUAAGUCUCACAUCCCAGGGAACCCCUCCAGUCCGGGCAAACUGGGUUGGUGGUCACCCUCCCAACCAUCUGUGUGCAUUUUUUGGUGACCAUACUGUCAUUAAAGAACUUUUCCAAAAUGCUCCCACAUAUAAAAUGCUGGACUGUGAGGUACAAAGGUGUACAAAGAUAAAGGGGAACAACGGCAAAUGGUUUUCCUCCUCCCUUUCUGGAAAUUCUUCAGAUGUUGCUUUGGAGUACAGUUAUCUUAUUUGUUUGCUAUGUGGUUUCUAAAGGUCACUCUGGAAAGGGAUAUGCAAUGGGCAACCCACUGCAAGUUGUGGGUUGUCUUCCACAGGAGCAGCUCCAGAACAGCCCAGCUUGGAGGCAGCACAGGUCUCCCACCAGGGUGCUGUUCCCAUUUUGCCUCUCCCUUCUGUUUUCCACCUUGUUCUGGUACUCAAGUUCUGGAAGCUCUGAGAAUCAUCGACACUAAAAGUGAGCAGGCAACAGUCAGAACCUCUGUAAAAACGGCGUCCUCAGGCUUCUAA